rnacentral:lncRNA from 1 species
CGGCACUAGGAUCCAGAUCGGCUUAAGGCCGCCGGGACCCGUAGUAAGCCUACUGUCAACUCUGUGUACCUGAUAAAUCCCAUACAUGAUCACACUUAAACUUAAAACUGUUACUUACUCUUCUCUAUUAUAUUUUUUUUUUCUUUCUUUGCUUGACUAUCUUUUCUUUUCUUGAAACUUUUCUCAUCAACUAAGCCUGGACUAUGCAUGCUCUGUCUGUAUGCACUCGAAGAGUGAUACCUGCUAUGGUACCAUACAGUGACUACAGAGAUAG